rnacentral:rRNA from 1 species
CAGUCGCGCGGUAAUACGUAGGGUGCGAGCGUUAAUCGGAAUUACUGGGCGUAAAGCGUGCGCAGGCGGUUGUGUAAGACAGGUGUGAAAUCCCCGGGCUUAACCUGGGAACUGCGCUUGUGACUGCACAGCUAGAGUAUGGCAGAGGGGGGUGGAAUUCCACGUGUAGCAGUGAAAUGCGUAGAGAUGUGGAGGAACACCGAUGGCGAAGGCAGCCCCCUGGGCCAAUACUGACGCUCAUGCACGAAAGCGUGGGGAGCAAACAGGAUUAGAUACCCCUGUAGUCCCUGUCUCUUAUACA